UUGAUCCUGGCUCAGAACGAACGCUGGCGGCGCGUUUUAAGCAUGCAAGUCGAACGGUAGUAAGGUGCUUGCACCUUAUGAGAGUGGCGAACGGGUGAGUAACACGUAGGUGAUCUACCGUAAAGUUGGGGAUAGCCUGUGGAAACACAGGGUAAUACCGGAUAAUUCUUAUUGUUUACGGACGAUAAGGGAAAGGGGCCACGGCCCUGCUUUUCGAAGAGCCUGCGUUCCAUUAGUUAGUUGGCAGGGUAACGGCCUACCAAGGCGACGAUGGAUAGCCGGCCUGAGAGGGUGACCGGCCACACUGGGACUGAGACACGGCCCAGACUCCUACGGGAGGCAGCAGCUAAGAAUCUUCCGCAAUGGGCGAAAGCCUGACGGAGCGACGCCGCGUGGACGAAGAAGGCCGGAAGGUUGUAAAGUCCUUUUCUCGAUGAAGAAUAAGGCAGCGAGGGAAUGCGCUGUCGAUGACAUUAGUUGAAGAAUAAGCCCCGGCUAAUUACGUGCCAGCAGCCGCGGUAACACGUAAGGGGCGAGCGCUGUUCGGAAUUAUUGGGCGUAAAGGGCGCGUAGGCGGCUUGGCAAGCCUGGUGUGAAAGGCCACAGCUUAACUGUGGGAGUGCGCUGGGAACUGCCUAGCUAGAGUUUCGGAGGGGAAGCUGGAAUUCCUGGUGUAGGGGUGAAAUCUGUAGAUAUCAGGAAGAACAUCUGUGGCGAAGGCGAGCUUCUGGCCAGAAACUGACGCUGAGGCGCGAAAGCGUGGGGAGCGAACAGGAUUAGAUACCCUGGUAGUCCACACUGUAAACGAUGUGCACUAGGUGUUGGCUGUGAUAACGGUCAGUGCCGAAGCAAACGCGAUAAGUGCACCGNCUGGGGAGUAUGCUC
rnacentral:rRNA from 1 species